rnacentral:lncRNA from 1 species
AUUUGAUCUAAACACUUAAUUGGGUUAUGCUUUUUUGCAAAGACGAUUUAUUUUUGCAACUGCUGUGAAAACCACGUGGGACCAAGUUUCUAACAGCACUGAACUCUUUCUAUAUGAAUUUCAAAGCAACUUUGAAGGUGUUAAUUUCAAGAAUACAUCUUUAAACAUCACCCACCUUAUUAAACAAGUGUUCGAGUUGAGAAAGAAGGAUUCAGAUUGGACCUAUAUAGCAUAGACUUAUCUAGAAAUAGACUAAUACCAAAAAACUCAACCUCCUGGCUUGAUAAGUAGUCCUUCAAAUACUGGGCAACCCCAGCUAUUAUUUGGUAGUUUUUUCCACUGCUUUUCAACAUGGUAUGCUAAUAACACUUGAUAGCAAUAUCUUUUACUGUAGAGCUUGUCACAUUCAUGACAUUCUAAAAAUAUUUUCUAAGGAAUUUUGAGCCAGAAGAUAAAGCUAUCACAUGUUUAAAAUAGAACUUUGCAAUUUAUUGCUACAACUGUGUUCAGAAUUAUCCAAGAGUUUUAUUAUUAUUAUUUGAGGUAACAUUGAUAUUUAUAACACUAUGUAAGUUUCAAAAUUAUCCAAGUGUUACUUCAGAGGCAUGACCCUAAGUAACAGCUGAAAUUCAGGGUUUUUUUUUUUUUUAAACAUGGACAUUUAAUUCUCAUCUGAGCCCUAUUACAGUCUUGUUCAAACCAGCCAGACAGUAAAGCAGAUGAGGACUCUGUAUAAUUUUAAUGGCUGUGCUCUGAGACAUACUUCAAAAUGGCACACCUGACCCCCGCCUCCCCCCCCCCCACAAACACUAUUGGGGAUGUCGCUUCUCUGCCUAUGAAAACUUCCUGCUGCUCUUCAGUUUGUUUGCAAACAUCAAGCUGCCUAGAGUUCUUGUGAUUUGUGAGACUCCAAAACGAAAUCUUGGAGAAAGCAAAGACCAAACGACAGAUUUGGGGAAGAAGUCUUCACCUGCAAAAGCAAAACGAAGUACAGCAAUCCCAUCAGACUGCCAGGCGCGGACCUGGGGACGUGCCAGUCACCUCCUCCGCUGGUCAAGGGGAGCCCCGAAAAGUGGGGGCACCGCGGGAACACACGAGAGAGCCGAUCUGGAGGACGCAACGAGGCGUAAGAGGGUAGCUCGGGGAGCUGCGCGUAGGGCGGGGUUCCCGGCGGUGGGUGGAUGCGGGAUGCCGGACGCGGGGUUCCCGGGGUGGGGGCGCCAAGACAGGAGUGCCGCGGCGGGA